rnacentral:tRNA from 1 species
GUAGUCGUGACUGAGUGGUUAAGGCAAUGGACUAAUGAUCCAUUGGUUGGAAUCCUACUGAUUACA